GGACAUUGUGGAUGAAGGCUAAGACAACUGCUUUUCCUGGAUGUCUUCUGGACAGAACAGGGAUGCUGAUUCCAUGAACUCUAAUGAUAUGGCUGCCCAGACAAGAAAUGCAAACUUCUAGCUGGUCUACACGUCAACAUGGAUGGUAAAAAGCUCACAAGUUUUCACUCCUUAGAUGGAGAGAUACAAGCAGUCAUUCCUUUGAAGUGACUGUGGAACUCAAUGAAGAUAUUCCAAUAACCAUAUGGAAUUGGCAGGCCCUAGCAGAUACUCAUAAUUGGUUCCAAACAUUUCCUCUUCUUAACUGUUCAAAACUGUAUUAUUUAAAAGGGAUAUUGAUGUGAAG
rnacentral:lncRNA from 1 species